GAAUCUUCCGCAAUGCGCGCAAGCGUGACGGAGCGACGCCGCGUGGGUGAUGAAGGCCUUCGGGUUGUAAAACCCUGUCAGUUGCUAGGAAUCGCAGGUGGUGAAUAGCCACCUGCCUGACCAUGCAGCAAAGGAAGCACCGGCUAAAUACGUGCCAGCCACCGCGGUAAUACGUAUGGUGCAAACGUUGUUCGGAAUCACUGGGCCUAAAGAGCGCGUAGGCGGUCGAGUAAGUCGGACGUGAAAUCCCCCGGCUCAACCGGGGAACUGCGUCUGAUACUGCUCAGCUAGAGUGCAGGAGGGGAGAGUGGAAUUCCUGGUGGAGCGGUGAAAUGCGUAGAUAUCAGGAGGAACGCCGGUGGCGAAAGCGACUCUCUGGCCUGCCACUGACGCUGAGGCGCGAAAGCUAGGGGAGCAAACGGG
rnacentral:rRNA from 1 species